UAUAAGCAGUUACUACGCCACCUGGUGGAUGACUGGGCUCGGUUGCCGAAGAAGGUCGUGCCAAGCAGCGAUAUGCUUCGGGGAGGCGCAUGGAACCUUUGAUCCGAAGAUUGCCGAAUGGGACUUCCCAGACCUAAGUCUAAUCCUUCACAGGAUGGGGAACGCCCCGAAUUGAAACAUCUUAGUAGGGGCAGGAAAAGAAAUCAAAUGAGAUGGGGUAAGUAAAGGCGAUCGAACACCCCUUUACGGGCAAACCGAAUCCCGUAGCGAGAGUUGCGGGAAAUGUGGAUGGCCCGGUUACGUCCUAACUCUCAUAUCCGAAGUUCGUGUGGAACGCCGGUGCCAGAGAGGGUGACAGCCCCGUAGGAGAAAGAGAGCAGGACGAUUUCCGGGACCCAAGAGUAACGUGCGUUGGAUAUCGCGCGUGAAGACGGGAGGUACUAACUUCCAACCCUGAAUACAGACCGAGACCGAUAGCGUACUAGUAGCGUGUAGGGACGAAGGGCGGCUCGCCCGGCUGCGAAUAAUCCUCGCGGAAGUCCAUUCCGAGAUACGCCUGGUCCUCGAU
rnacentral:rRNA from 1 species